AGAGCGAACGCUGGCGGCAGGCCUAACACAUGCAAGUCGAGCGCCCGUAGCAAUACGGGAGCGGCAGACGGGAUAGUAACACGUGGGAACGCGCCCUUCGGUUCGGAAUAACUCAGGGAAACUUGAGCUAAUACCGAAUACACCCUUACGGGGAAAGAUUUAUUGCCGAAGGAACGGCCCGCGUCCGAUUAGCUAGUUGGUGAGGUAAUGGCUCACCAAGGCUACGAUCGGUAGCUGGUCUGAGAGGAUGACCAGCAUCACUGGGACUGAGACACGGCCCAGACUCCUACGGGAGGCAGCAGUGGGGAAUAUUGGACAAUGGGCGCAAGCCUGAUCCAGCCAUGCCGCGUGGAUGAUGAAGGCCUUAGGGUUGUAAAGUCCUUUUAACGGGGAAGAUAAUGACGGUACCCGUAGAAUAAGCCCCGGCUAACUUCGUGCCAGCAGCCGC
rnacentral:rRNA from 1 species